rnacentral:rRNA from 1 species
AUACGGAGGGUGCAAGCGUUAUUCGGAAUCACUGGGCGUAAAGGACGCGUAGGCGGGUUGGCAAGUCAGAUGUGAAAUCCUACAGCUUAACUGUAGGACUGCAUUUGAAACUGCUAACCUAGAGUAUGGGAGGGGGAGAUGGAAUUAGUGGUGUAGGGGUAAAAUCCGUAGAUAUCACUAGGAAUACCGAAAGCGAAGGCGAUCUCCUGGAACAUAACUGACGCUAAGGCGUGAAAGCGUGGGGAGCAAACAGGAUUAGAUACCCUAGUAGUCC